AACCUGAGUCAGUCAAGAAGUGUCUUAGCAAACUGUAGAGUCUUCUUGGACCUAGAAUCUCUUCCCAUUUCUUCCUCAAUGACUAAAACAUACUGCUGAGGAUGUCAGUGUUAAAUAGGAAGGGGGUAGCUCGACGUGAAAUAAUAGGGUCAGGCUUGCUGUGUAGGGAAAGGGGAGACGGUCUCUGCACAUUUUCCUCUGAAGAGGGAAGAAGUUUGAAUCGGGGACUGACAAUGGGCUGGGAGAAAUGUCAGUGACAACAAAUCAGAUAAAAAGAUAUCUUUGGCCACAGAGUUCCUUCAUUUUAUCACUUUCAACUUCUGAAUCUUCUAUUCUGAGGAUGCUCAUGGAAUUUCUGGAUGAACUUGAAGACGCUAGCAUUGGGGAGAAAAUGCAAAAGCUGGGGGUACCACUGAGCCACCAAACAGGCUCUACCAGGAACCAGACACCUUUCAGGCAAACUUAACCACCAGAAACAUCAAGGAGGAGCCCUUUAAAUGUAUAUUCCUCACACCAGAGACAUCACAAUGGUUCCCCAGGGCAAGCAGGCGAGUAGGAAUCUGCCAGACCUGGAGACACCAUAAGGCAGCAGGAAAAGGGAAAAAGGGUCUCACCUGUUCCGGCCCCUGGAAGCAGAUGCGGCAUAGUGGGGUCCUCAUGCCACUGUCCAGGCUGCUGCCCAGUCAUUGAAGAGCAUGCGGCAGCGGCACUUGAGGAGACCCUGGUGGCGCAACAUCUGGGGAGCCGGGGCACACAAUCCACAGCGGUACCAGGCACAGCAGCAACAGCAGCAGCACCACCACCACCACCAGAGCAGCCCACUCAGGGGCAUCAGCAUGUGCCCAGUGGAAGCAGAGAGCCCAGGAGGGGCAGCUGGAGUCUUUUCAGAGGAAGAUAGUAGAAUGGUUUUGAGGGGGGUCCACAGCAAAGCUGUGUUGUGGGGGGGGGAUCUGCUUUCUCACUGGCUCCCUUUACACCCCCUCAGAGUAGCAAAUCAGUUGCCCCCAAGACUGAGAACUGUGAGUCACUGGCUCUAAACUCUCCCUGGAAAGCCCGACGACAACAACAACAAAAAAGGUUUUCUUGCUUACCCCUUACCCCCCACCAACCUUAGCUUUGCUCAGGGUGUCUCCUUGUUGCCUUUGACUUGGGGACACUGGUCGGAGAAGGGAAUAAAAAAAAAUGUUGAGG